AUUAGAAUUAAACAGACAAAUAAAGAUCACCGCAACUCUGUUUUGCACAUUAAUACGUUGUAUGUCUGUUAUCAAAUGCAGCGCAGCCACAGCGUGUCCACCGAACUGCGCAUGUCACUGUGCUCCUGAAAUGAUAGGAUAUGCUUACACUAAUAACACACCUCUAUUACACAGCUUCAAUCUCACAUAGUAUCGCUACCAACGUCUAUUUAGCAAAGUUUAAUAAAAAUGAGAGUGUAAUUAAACUAAAAAUAUUUUAAAAUAUAGGGACAAAAUAACUCACAAAACAACGUAUUUUGUCCUGAUUAACCGCCAAACAACGACUUGUUUAUAGUAUUAACGACUUUGCAGACGUCAAACUAAAGUCAUUUAUAAAUAUAUUAACUAAAAACAUGAAGUAAUACAGCAGUUUAACGAAAACCAUGUAUAAAAUAAAUUAAAUAAAGCUUACCAUAAUCUUCGAUGAAAUAAAACACGAGAUACUUCCACAGGUAGGACGUAUUUAUAAGAAAUCUUUUUUUAAAUUUUUUUAUAAGAAAUCUGCUGUGUAAGCAGUAUAUGCCGUAGCGUCGAUGUGCGCAUGCGGAUUACCACAAGGUAGGACGAAUUUAUGGUUAGCACAGAUGAACUGGUUUUGUGGGUGACGCAAGCUUCGCUCCUGCUCACUGAUUGGCUGUGGGCGUGGACAGACGGAGCAGCAAAGAGAGAAGAAAAACGAAGGCGCGACUUUUCAAACUCGCUACAAUACGGAAGUGAUGGAAGAUACAAACAAGCCGUGAACUAAGAGAUUCUUUGCUUCGGAUUUCAAUAUUCAGCGGCAGCUCGAUGGAGCAGUGAGGAAUGAGUCGUUUUUGUUAAUGUAGUGGAGAGAUUGGAAAGCCUCGUUAGCCGCCUCGGAGCCCCACGCAGCCCCACGGUGAACACCGACUCAGAUGCAGCUAAUGCCGCUGCUGAUCUCCAGCCAGGGAACAGAAGAAGAGGAACAUGGUUGACAUGAUGGAGAACGAUGAGAACUGUCAGAACAACUGGAUCUCAUUCAGGAGGAAGCAGCUACCAGCAGAGAUGGCAGCGCUCCAUGGAGAGGGUAGAGGCAAACAGAAGAAAAAUAAAAGCUGUUGUGUCUCAAUGAACAAAGUCUCUUUUGUUAUACUCUCUCCACACAUUAUUGUACAUACUGUAGUUUGUUUGGCAUCAAGCUCCUAAUAUAAUCCUCCCAAAAUGUGAGGGACUUUAGACAGAGUGAAAAUAACAUUAUAUUAUGUAAAUUUGUCAUUGACACUUAACAUUGUAGAUUACCAAUGAAGGUAUCUAAAAGUGAAACAUUAUUCAGCAAACCAAACAUUUUGACAUUAUUAUCAGGGUUGCUAUUAACAAGAACCCAAAAUACAAAUCAUGUUUGUUCAUUUCUAUGUUGUACAACAUCCUUAUAUCCACUCUGUGUUCAGCUGACUUACUGGAGAAUCUUCAAUGUAAGAAAGUGAGAAAAUGUGUCCAAAACCUCUAACCUUAAUUAGUGAUAAACAAGAUUGAGUUUAAACUUUUAAGCCCCUGAUCAAUUCUUAGUGACCAAAAUGUGAAAACAUGAAGGUUUGAUUAAAACUACAACCAGUCAGAUUAGAAGGAAUACAGCUUUAUUUGUUCUCAGUAUAACUUGAACAUCAGAUGAAUUAUAAUUAAACAUAUUGAAGUUAAAAACAACAGAUUGCUAAGGCACUUCAACUCUGUGAGAACAUCAGCCACAUUUUUUAAGUUAGAAAUGUUUCAUCAGCACAUUGAGCUCAUGUGAUUCCUGCUCCAGAAAGGUGAAGGUCUCUGGACAUCCUGAAGGUAAACACUGACGGACAGUCAGGAAGACGGAAACUGAUGAGACAUCCUACAACUCAGAGGCUGCAGGAAGAAUGAUG